UUCACUGCCCAUCAUUCAGAGUCUGUCUUCUGGGGACUCUGGAAGGCACAGCGUCUGAGCAAAGUCACUCCACUGUGCAGUGGACCCCGGGAACUGAUUUACACCUACACAUGUUCACGUGCCUAUGAGUUCUGUAACACUAUGCUCAAUCACUAGGACUUACGGGCAUAAGAACACAUGUACAUACAAGAUCACAUGCUUUAUGGUCUUAACACACAUCCAUGUACCGUGUGUCUACCUGUCCGUCCUUCUGCUCCUCAGCAUGACCACGUGCCAGCCAGUGAUGGCAUUGCCUCAGAAGCACUCCUCAUCUUCACUUUAAAGUCCCAAGGCAGGUCUCUGAAUGAGACCAGCCUGAGCAUCUGGGGUGCCUCCAGGAUGAAGCUAAUAAGUCUGGCUUCGAAGAGGUCCCUGCUUCCCCACAGGCAGUAGGAUGCUGGAAGGUUCCUGGGAAGCCAAACAGCAGCCUGUCUUUGUCUGACGCUGGGGGAAAUCUUUUCUCAUGGCCACAGAGGCAGUGACUCAAAAGGCGGGGUCCAGAGACAAAGGAGACCUAUGAAUGCAAGAUCACAAGGAGGAGAGGGAAGUUCUUGGCAACACCGUUGAAAUGAUUGGAGAGAGAGAAGCAGGGCCAGCACAAGGUGGCUAGAAGAAACCUGCCCUACUUUGGCAAGCCAGAACCUUGGAGGCACUCAAGGGCCCACGGUUGGCACCAUUGCUAACUGGAGAUAGGACCUUGGGCCAGAUGUCCUGGGUCUCAAGGCUCCUGGCAAAGUGGACUCUGUUGGAGUUAUAGGAAUGAGGUCAGGUCAGCUACCUGGAAAUUCCUUCCCAAACAUCAAGCAUUUCUCACCGGCCAGCACCACUGUGAAGUCAAGUCUGGCCGGAUGGCAAGGAAGAGGACAUAGACAAGAACUUAACCUAUAAGAUGAGUACGUGAUGCCCAGAUAAAGGGGAAUGGGGCAAAUAAAGGGUCUUACACUCAUGUCAGACUUACAGCCCAGAUUCUAGGGCAAGACACUCUGCUCAGAACCCCUGUGCUCUCUCAAUAACUGUGUCAGCAGAUCUGUCAUUUACUCUCUCCCAGCCACCUCCUCUGUCACAGCCAGAUGGAAAAGAUGUAUAGGUCAGAACUGGGGGAGGGGUGGAGACCUCCGCCUCCUCCCAGCCUACCACCUCCCAGCACUGCACGGGCUUAUUCCAUGGGCAAGACUGAGAGAUUAUACCUCGGACUGUUGGUAACUGGCUCAGUCUUUAGUUUCCCCAGAGGGUAGGAGGUGGGGCUAAUCAUCGCAACACAGUAGACCUGCCUUAUUGGCCUUCCUGGUGAUCAGCCUCAUUUUGAAGUUGUUAGGACAGCCUAGCCUCCAGUCUGUUCAUCAUCCCAAACGCUGGGCAAACUGGGCAAGCCCUGGGGGCUCUCAGAAGCCUCUAUGCUGGAGACUAGAGAGCAAGAGAAAAGGUUAUAGCAAAAUUGUAACCAAGGACGCUCCCAUCUCACUUAUCACUUGGCAACUGAUAAGAGUUUGUGCGCCACAGGGGAAGAGUAGAUUCCUUCCUCCUACCACAGUGGCAGCCUGGUCUGUGCUUGAGGCCCACAGAGUAGGGACCAGUGCUGUGCUGAGGCCCACGCAGUAGGGACCUGUCAUCAAUGAGACCUGCCUGAUCUGGGUUGCAGUCUUUUAACCUAUUCUUGUAUGAGGUCGUUGAGCAGUAAUGGGUUGAGUAGUUUUGCCAAAGUCCUACAUUCAUAAGCCAUAGUUCUGUAGCCAGACCCAAGCGUCUUCCUAGGGCCUGUGAUCUGGCCCUGUCCACGGUCUCUGACAGGUCUCCUGUUCAUGAGGCUGUUGGAACCCAGAACCCCUAAUAUGAAAGCAAGGUGCCCUGAGGCCCAGUGCACGUCUGGUAUCCUCUAUGCAGCACUUGUCCCAGCCCUAGCAGACACCGACCAUGCUGGCUUCACAUCCAGCCCUCCGGUCAGGACAUCACGGGGCCAGCAGAGCAAGCAGUGGUGAAGCCUGCUUUCCAUCACUUGUGCCUUUCCUCAGUUCCCCCCAUCUGCAAGAUUAGGGAUAAUAGUACUUGACCCAUUCAUCUUAUUGAGCUGUUGACAGACUGACUGACGGACUGUGGUCAACCCACGUAUCUUCAGUUUCCACCUCCACAGAGGCAACCAAUUACAGAUUCGAAAUAUAAGAUGUGGACGGACGUUUUCUGGACAUCCUCUUCUAAGCUGUGUGACAGACAACCAUUUGCACACUAUUUAUAAGUGUUAGGCAUGCAAAGACCUAUGUGGGAGGACUUUGUCGUCUCCUGUGUGUGAAGGCUGCCAUUUUCUAUCAGGGACUGUCAGUAAUUUAGGGUUCCAGAAGUCUGUCCUCUGUGAAUGGCAAAGGACUGAUGCACAUCCCAGCAGUUCCUAUUAAGAAUGCCUUCAGUAUUCGCUGCAACCUUCUGGUCCUCUCUGUCCCUGGGGUCCUUCCUAGCUGUUUAGCUGACAGAUUAGGUUUCAUAUUUUGAACCCCACCGCUGCCCCAGUUCCCAAUGUUUCGAUUUAUUGCUGCUCUUCAUGUCAGACCUUCAUGCUCCGCCUGACUCACCCCGUCAACCCAACUGGGACCCAGCCUGGGCCGUGCCUCACCUCAGCCCAGAUCUUACUUAAACCCAUCACCUCUGGGUGGCACUUCCUCAUUCCAGCAUCCCCUGUAUCUGACUCCACGACCUUACCCAGCACCAUCAGAGUUCACCACUUUCUUUGCUUUCUGUCUCUGUCCUCCCACCACCGUCCCUACAGAAGUUGAAUUCUUCUAUGUCCUGCACAGUGUUUAGUCAGGAAGUGGCAAGUUAAAGUGAUGUGGAAGCCUCGUUCUCAUGAGCCCAGAACACAGCUGUGUACAGAGAGAGAGUGUAUACGGAAAGUGGCUCACGAUGCCAGAGGGUGGGGAGUCUAGAGUCUGCAGGAUGGACCAGCAGCUGCAGACCCAGGACAUCUGACCACACAAGUCUACAGCUGCCUGCUGGAGAAUUCUCCCAGCUAAGAGAAUGGCCAUUUGUUCUAUGGGGCCUUCUUCAACCAUUAGGGGAUCUGUAUGUUUGGUUGUUUGUUCAGGCAUGGUCUCUCUAUGUAGUAUUAUCUGUCCUGGAAC
rnacentral:sRNA from 1 species